GUUCUAUUAUGACCAGGUUCCACUGACUACCUUUUUCUUUUGCAUAUGGGUUAACAUUUCCGUGUGUGUGUUUGUGUGUGUGUGUAUGUGUGUGUGUGAUUGUAUGUAUGUACACAUACACUUGUGUGUGUCCAGUGAUUUUUACUGUAUUCUGAACUUGUGAAUAACACGUUGUGUAAGCUAUGGUUUCUAUUAGAAUUCCUCUGAAGAGAUUUCAAUCUAAAUUUCUGUCUUAGCAGACAAUUAACUUGGUUGAAUUCAAAUUCCAUAGCCUGUCUUAGCUGUGGUGAACAACAGCUGAUGUCUCUUUGAACUCUUCCAACCCUAGGUGGGUUGUCUCAUACAUUCAUACUUCAAAGGCAUUGAGAAAUUUACGGUUUAGAUUCUGAAUUUGGAGUUCCUUCUCCUUGGCUCUCUUUUCAUGAUUUCUUUCCUCACUGCUCGGCUGUGGCAAUAGCUCUGAACUUCAUCCUUUGAUUUCCCAAGCCAGUAAGACUGCAGGUUUCUAUCUGACUUCUAGAAUCUGGGCGGUGCCAAGUGGGAUCAAGAAGCCCUCAGGUGAGAAUCUGUGAAGACAGAAAAUUCAUUAGUGUGGAUCACUUCUUUCAAGUGUAGAAGUGUCUGCCUGCUGUAGACCCCUUUUCUGUGCUUUAGAUUGUUAGUUUUAGAUAGUCUUAAAAAAUAUUUUGUCCAGACUUUACAGCUGUUAGUUGCAGAAUAUUUGGUCUUAUACAUAUUAUUCUACCCAUUACCACGUUAGUUCUCUUUUGACUUUGUUUAUGACAUUUCUUUGACAUGCAAACAUUGGUUUGUUUUUGUUUUGUGGUACUGGUGACAGAAACAAGGGACACUAGACCACUGAGCUACACAUCCUGUUCUUUUUUAUUUUUUUGAGACAAGAUCUCAUUAAUUUGCCCAGGCUGACCCCGAACUUGUCAUCCUCCUGCCUCAGCCUCCAGAACUGUGGGGAUUAUAGGUGUGAGCCACUAUGCUCAGCUAUUUUUAUAAAGGUAAAUAUGUCACUAUUUUCUUGUAUUGUUUCUGGAUUUUGUGUCACAGAAAGCCUAUUCUUCACACCCAAAUUAAAGAAAAAUUGACCCAUGUUUCCUUUUAGUGCUUAUGAAGAUUUUGUAAAAUUUUGGAACAUUUUUCCUAACACAUCUGGAAUUUUAUAAAGCAGGAGGUAUGUACCUAAUUUUAUCUUUUUACAAAUAGUUGAUCAGUUAUCUCAGCACUUUUCAUUAAAAAAUCCAUCUUUGUCCCAACGAUAUGAGAAGAGACCUUUAUCGUAUUUCAAAAUUCUCCAGGGUUGGCAUCUAUUUUGAGCUUUUUAUUCUAUUCCACCAGUCUUCAUAGUCACUCACCACUACCUCAUUGUUUUAUUAUAAGACUGCAAUAUAUGUUUUAAUAUAUGGUAGGGUUAGUCCUGCCUUGUAUUUUUUAUUGCUUUUCAAUUUCUGCACAUUUAUUUAUCAUGUAAAUUUUAUUUGGAUUAUAAUUUACAUAUCUUGUAUUGAACCCUUUUAAAGUAUGCAAAUCAAUUUUUUAGCAUAUUCACCAGGUGUUGAAGCCAUCACUGCCAUCAAAUUUUAGAACAUUUUUCUCUCUCCUAAAAGAAACCUUGUACCCAUUAUCAGUCAGUCCCUGUUCCCUGCUCUAUCCUCCUCCCUGUUAUAAGCAAUCACUAAUCAAUCUGUCUCUAUAAAUUUGCCCAUUUUGGAGAUUUCACAUAAAUAUAUCCAUGCAGUAUGUAAUCUUUUGUGACUGCUUGUAUAAAUUUCAGUUUCAACUUACCUAGCUUGAUAAAAAAUGCUUUUUGGCAAUUCUGUUGACAUUUCAUUACCUUUAUAAAUUAAUUUGAGGAGAACUGAUGGCUUUAUGAAGCAGCGUUCCUACCCAAGAACAAGAGUUGCUUUUGCCUUGGUUCAAAUCUACUUUUCUGUCAUCCGGAGUUCGAAGUUUUUCUCAUUUAGAUUUUGUGCGUUUCUUAUUGCUUAUUCCUACAUAUUGUCUUCAUUUCUUAUUGCUGUUUGUAAAUGGGACUUGCUCUAGCAUUAUGUUUGUAACUGGUUGUUGAUGGCAUAUAUGAAGAAUAUGGUUUCUAAAGGUUAAUUUUGUCUUCUUUUACCUUGCCGAGUUAUAUUAUUGAGUUAGUUCUGUUGCUUCUCUAGGUUUUUGCAGGUAAACUCUCAUGCUGUCUGCAAGAAAAAAUCCGUUACUUCCUCUUUUGCACUUCUCUAACUCUUGCAGUUCUCUAAAUGCCUUUCCCUGUCUAUAAGCCUUGGCAACUAUCUGCAAGACAAUGUUGGCAAGAUAGAAAUCAUCCCUACCUUGUUUCUUAUCUUAAUAGAAUGCUUCUAAUAAGAAACAAAUCCUUUCAUUACUAUAUACAUCCUGAAUGGCUUAUUCUUGUUUCAUUAGUGAAUGAAUGUUUAUUCCUCUGCAUCUUGGACUAAUGAUUAACUUCAAAUUUGUGCUUUGAAUUAUUAAAUCUGUUUAUUUCAUAAUGCCAGUGAUAGCAGAUUGCAUAGAGUUGUGUUACAAACUAUGUUAGUGUUCCAAAUCUCUCACAACUUCUUCAACUUGGGUCAUCUACACUUUAAAGAUUUUUGCUUACUCUUUUAUUUAGCGAAGUACUGGGGAUUGAACCCAGGGGUGUUAAUCACUGAGCUACACAUCCUGUUCUUUUUAUUUUGAGACAGGAUCUGGCUAAGUUGCCCAGGCUGGCCUCAAACUUGCAAUCCUCCUGCCUCAGACUCUUGGGUUGCUGGGAUUACAGGCGUGCACAACCAUGCCUGGCUGCUUUUCGCUUAUUCAAGUGAGUAAAACUUUACCUUUUUGGCACAAGUACUCUGGUAUAGUUUAUGGCAGUAUUUAUUAAAGCAAUAUAAUAUGAUCCAGUAAUUUCCUCGGUGUAUAAACUCAGGAAUGAUCACUGUGUCCACCAAAAAACAUGUGCUAGGAUGUUUAUAAAAGUUCUAUUCAUAGCUAAAAAAAAACUAACAGGCAACCCAAAUUCUCAUCAAAAGAAAAAUGGACAUAUAGGGAUAUAUUCAAACAAUGGAAUACCAAGAAUGAACUGUCUAUGCCUCUUUGCAACCAGGUGGAUGAACCUCACAAACAUCAUGAUGAGUGAGAGUAACCAGAAACGAAAACAGCGCUUAUCAUAUGUGUCCAUUAAUACAAGGUCCAAAACAGGUAAGAGGAACCAGUGAUGCCCGGGGUCAUGAAACCGAGAGGGGAAGGAAGUGUAAGAGGGUGGUGGGGGCAAGUGGUGUUCUGCCUCUUGAUCUAGUGCUGAAGUCCUGGUUCUCUUUUCAUCAUGAUUUCUGAACUUUUCUGUAUGUAUAUUAUACUUCCAUUAGAAGCGUAUGUUUUAAAUUAAAACUUUCCACCAAAUUCCAAAAGGAAAAGGUGACCUUUUCCUUUUUAUGGACCUUUAGGAAGGAAGUUGAGAAAGCUGAGAAAAUUCUCAGUUCACUGCACAGCUCUCACUCCCAUCCUCUCCUUCUGGAUCUAUAAAACUGUCUUGCCAGGGUAGAUUGGAGCCUGCGUAUUUAACAUUUGCAUUUCCUUACACACUUUGAAUAUUGCACCGGGAAUUGCUCACUUUGAAGUCGAGGAGCCCUAGCUUCAUAUGGGACUCCUAGUAGAUGCCUCUGUUUUCCAAAGGGAAUAUCCUCUUUUCCUGUGCCCUGAUUGUCCGAACAUAUGGGUCAGAGUUUAUGGCCAGUAACUGUUUUGGGUGAGAGGGCACUUUCAAAUUCACCACAGUCUGAUGUUUAGCAAAAGCCUGGAAGAUUGCCCCAAGGCUGUGGCACAUGUUCACAGGAGUUGGCUGGGAAUGCUGGUCCCUAGACACAGACUGGGCCCCCUGGCCUGUAGGGUUGCUUUUACCUCAUUGCAGUUCCUAGGUCAGACCACCAGACUGAUGUUGCUGAAGACAUGCACUUUGUGACACACUCUGCUUUACAGAACCCUUUAGAGGAGAAAUGCAACCUACUUGAAAAACAGGAAACUGGUCCUUUUCAGCAUGCAAUUUAUUUUUAUCUUAAGAACAUGUAAACCAGGUAAGCUUCUCCUUUCAGUGCUAGCAGUUUGUUUCUUUCUUUUUUUUUUUUAAUUUUAGGUGGACACAAUAUCUUUAUUUUACAUUUAUGUGGUGCUGAGGAUCGAACCCAGUGACCUAGGCGAGCACGCUACCACUGAGCUACAACCCCAGACUGCUUAAAGCCAAAUGUGUUCAGUAUGUACCCAGGGCUUUACCGUAUGCAUGUUUGUAUUUACAAAUCCCGGGCUUCAUUUUGUACCUCUAGACUUAUUUCUUUCCUUCUUUCUUCCUACUAUUCAUUUAUGUUAACUUGGUGCAUAUUCCAUACCUAUUUUUAGAUUGACUUUCAGUGAUGUGCUAGAACGCUUGCUUGCACCUGCUGAAUAUCAUGGAAUGUUGUGAGGCCCUUCUUGAACAGUUGAUAGCUUGAAAUUAGCCACCAUGGGAGUGUUUCCACCAUCCAUAUAGACAAUCACCGCAAAAUACAUCUUUACUUUUUUUCUCCCAGGGAGCUAAUAUACUAGCACACCACUGUUUAUAUCCUUAUGGGAAAGGUAAAGUCAAAAUAAAUGUGUUUUUAAAAUUAUUAUUAUGGGGCUGGGGUUGUGGCUCAGUGGUAGAGCGCUCGCCUCCCACUUGCGAGACCCACAUAAAAAUAAAUGAAUAAAAUAAAGGUGUUGUGUCCAACUACAACUUUAUAUAUAAUUAUUAUGAAUAAUCUACUUAUUUAAAUAUUGUCUAUUAUUUAAGAUCUUUCUCUUAUUCUUUUAAAAGUUUUAAUGAAACAUUUUUAAUGGUUAAAAGAGUGCUUUAAUUUUGACUUCAGGUAGUGUCAGAGACAUAGGGGGCUCUUCAAAUACUGCCAAAAGUUACUGUAGAUGCAGAGUCUGGGUGAUGAGGAAGUUAUUAAUGGCCAAAUACAUGGGAGGAAAUGAUACUCAGAAGAGAGGAAUGGAGUUCUGCUUUUGGCAAGUGGAGAAAGGAGCUGCAGCUGAAAAGCGACAGAAUGGUUAACGGAUCUGGGAUACUUUCGAAAAUGGCAAGAAAGCAGAAAACUGACAAGAAUGUUUUAAAGUAAAAUGAACGGUACUCGAUGGGAUCAUCUCAUUGGGCAGCAAGGUGCAAGCGCUUCUGCAGCUGUCGGAGCGCCCCCAGCAGGUGGGGAGCAUCUUACCACUCGAAAUUUAUUUUUAGUUGAUACAUAAAGACAUAAAAUUGGGGCUGGGGAUGUGGCUCAAGAGGUAGCGCGCUCACCUGGCAUGCGUGUGGCCCGGGUUCGAUCCUCAGCACCACAUACCAACAAAGAUGUUGUGUCUG
rnacentral:lncRNA from 1 species